CGGAGGGGCUGAGCCCAGCCCAGCCGGGGCGGCAGGGGCGGUUCAGCCGGGCUGAGCCCGGGAGGGAAAGCUGCAGCUGCCUGGGUUUGCACCACAGGCUCAGAACUGCUGCAAACGCUGGAUUCAAUCACGUUCUUCUUAUCUGCAAUCAGGAAACAGGAAGUGAUUUGCCACAGCACAUUGCAUCAAUUAUGAUCAGCUUGGGGAACAUUCCUUCUGGAAUCCUGGUCGGAUUGGUCUGUUGCAAGCGAAGAACUGAGGCCCCUUUGAGGCGGGCUGACAGAUGGCUGGAUGAAGGAGGAGGAAGUGGGCACUAAGUCGAGGAGGGAGGAAGGCAGAGUCCGGGCUGAGACCUGGCCUCGCCGUGGUCCCACCCUCAGGAGGCUGUGAGGACGGAAGGAAACUCGGACGUGAUGAGUUUUAGGCACCGUGAAUCACUACCCUGUGCAAAGACGAGUUGCAUUGGCUCUGAUGCUAUUUUUUUUACCCCAAUAUUCUUGGUAAUUAAACCUCGAAAUGGAAACA